GAUUAUGGCUCAGGAUGAACGCUAGCUACAGGCUUAACACAUGCAGGUCGAGGGGCAUCAUGUUGGUUGCUUGCAACCAAUGAUGGCGACCGGCGCACGGGUGAGUAACGCGUAUCCAACCUUCCCCUUAGUAGAGGAUAGCCCGGCGAAAGUCGGAUUAAUACUCUAUGUUGUAUUUUUGAUGACAUCUGACGAAUACCAAAGAUUUAUCGCUAAGGGAUGGGGAUGCGUCUGAUUAGGUUGCAGGCGGGGUAACGGCCCACCUGGCCUACGAUCAGUAGGGGUUCUGAGAGGAAGGUCCCCCACACUGGUACUGAGACACGGACCAGAUUCCUACGGGAGGCAGCAGUGAGGAAUAUUGGUCAAUGGGCGCGAGCCUGAACCAGCCAAGUAGCGUGCCAGGACGACUGCCCUAUGGGUUGUAAACUGCUUUUAUCAGGGAAUAAAGUGAGGCACGCGUGCCUUUUUGUAUGUACCUGAUGAAUAAGGACCGGCUAAUUCCGUGCCAGCCGCCGC
rnacentral:rRNA from 1 species